rnacentral:ncRNA from 1 species
GGGUCCGGGGGUUGUGGGCCUCCGGAGGUCAGCGCGGGUGGUCGGGCCGCCACCCG